ensembl:lncRNA
GGAGUCCCAGGAACUCAUGCAGCAGUUGGAGCAUCGCCUCACCUGCUCUCCACAUCCCCGUGCUCAUCUCCUUUCCAAGUUUGCCCUCUCAGCCCACCGGACUACACCUGUAGCCGGCCGGCACACCCCCUCCACCGUUACAGUAACGCCCCAGAGCCAUUCCCCCCACCCAGAGGUCCAUCUGCGUAUGAAGCCGAAGGAUUCUGCUCCCUGCCUCUCCCUGCCUCUCAGCUCGGCUAUCUCUCCAACCCCACCUCACAGGGCUAUGCCGGCCUUCGCCUCCACACGCCGCCCUACAGCCUGUAUGGUUACACAUUUCCCUCUUCGCCGCGCCUCGCUGCCAGUCCUGAUAAAAUGGCCGCCACAGCCAAUCAUCAGAGUGCCUUCCUUGGCUCGUCGCCCAGUGGGACUUUAACGGACAGUCUGGGUGUGCUCGGCGGAGGACAGCAAGGCUUCUUGUUCGAUUCUCGGACUUUGGGACUGGCAGGGAGCCAGUCGGGAGGCGGGGCCUCGCAGGUCACUGCUCACAUGGGCUGACUUUGACUCUGGGUUGUCACAAACACACAGUGACACCCUGGAUUGGGUGUGUGCUGCUUUUGUUCCCGAACACUCUCUGAGUUAACGAUCAAGCAUCACGCUGAAGACAGAAAGAAGUGACAGAGCAGGCUUUUUUUGCCUCUGUGAAUAUAUGAGCUUGUUAAAGCUUUACCUGAAGGAAAUAAUUUUUACUUUUGUUUUCACGCACGAUUUCUAUGACAUGUCUGUGGACCUGCAGUGGUCACUAAAGAAGCAGCAGUGGUGGUUAAGGAGUCCAGACGAAUGAACACACUGACUGAAUUUGGACUGGGCUCAGACCGUUGUGGCCCAGAGAAUUAAAGCAAGCACUUCAUCCUCUGCCCUGAAACAGUAACUAUGAUACUCAUACAGUGCUGCCUUUGUCUCUAUCAUUGCCUACAGUGGGUGGGACUACUAAACACCAUCAAAGUUUUUCUCAUUACAUGCACGAUUGUUCCUUCGAUCACUAUGCACUAAUGGCAGGGCCUGUUCACCACUCAAAAACACUUUUUACACACAACACUCGGGGUCGGACGUAUAAUUACUUAAUGACGUCAUAGCCACAACAGACCAUAGGAGUUCUCCUGGUGGCAGUCGUGGUCUAAUGGUAAAACUGUAGAGAGGAGUGGAUAAUGAAAAGAUUUAAGGCUUAAAUGUAUUUUUUCAUGUCUGACAGAGAAGCAACAGUACAUGACUCUGUAUAUAUAAGGGGGGAGGUGGGCGGGAGGAGAUUUCUGUAUAUAAAGGGCCGUGCAACCCUUCGCACUUAAAAACCCCGAUGCACCUGCUUCUGCUCUUAAGACUGGGUCAGGUAUGGGACACCCUACCCUGAACUUGACUGAAAAGCUUUUCUUUGCAAAUGCGCUAUAACAACAAGCCCUUUGGCCUGAGGACAUUAACAUGUUCUGUGACCUUUUUGAGCCAAAUAAAAUAUAUGUAUACGUGUCACGAUGUUUGAAUGUAAUCAAUAACUUACUAAUUUAACUGAUUUCACGUGGUUUUGUAAUGAAAUUCAAUGCAUGUUCGUGUGGGCACGACAAUUUCUUUACACUUUUUUUUAAAUCAAAGCAAUCACAAUACAAUAUUUCCUCAAG